rnacentral:rRNA from 1 species
UACGUAGGAUGCAAGCGUUGUCCGGAAUCAUUGGGCGUAAAGCGAACGUAGGCGGUUUCUUAAGUCUGUGCUUAAAGACCGGGGCUCAACCCCCGGGAGUGGCAUGGAUACUGGGGAGACUGGAGGACGUCAGAGGAAAGUGGAAUUCCUAGUGUAGCGGUGAAAUGCGUAGAUAUUAGGAGGAACACCAGUGGCGAAAGCGACUUUCUGGGACGUUCCUGACGCUGAGGUUCGAAAGCUCGGGGAGCAAACAGG